rnacentral:lncRNA from 1 species
AUGGGGGAGAGGAGAAACGGCAGCCCCCUCACCCAGGGCAACUCUCUGUCAGGUGCCCUGCUGCUGAGCACCUGCCUAUGUGAGGUCCGAGUCACGCAGACAGGGUUGGAACUGGAAUCUGCUGGCCCGGGCCUGGCCCAGCGUUCCCUGCAGCCCCUCAAUGCGCCUCCUCCCCUGCUCCCUGGGAACCUACCUGACCAGGAGGUGGAGCGGCGGCUGAGGCUGAGCCCAUGCAAGCAGCGCUCCAGGGCGUGCUGGAUGCGGUCCUCCGUGCAUGUCGUGGCCCCUUGCUGCAUCCUGAGUCAUCGCCUGCGUGGGGGACAGACGCUGGUCAGUCUGGAGACCCUCAGGCUCAAGAAGCACAUGGCCAAGCAGGGCAGCCAGUGGAGAGAGAGGGCACUCCCAGCCCUGUGCCGUCAGUCGGCUGGGGGCGGGGCAGCCCCUGGCAGUGCUGCUCAGAGAGGCAAGACAGGGCACUCAGGCCACCUGACAGCACAGGCUAGGGAAGUGAGGGGUCGGGGGAGGAGGGGAGUGGAGAGAUGGGGGCCAGGUACCCACUGGCCUCCAAGCCCUGGAGGGACCUCCUCUCGCCCUCUGUCUCUGGACAGUCGAAGCAUUUUCCUCUUGCAGACAAAACAAACGGGGGCUGACGGGCGGAGGCCCCAGGGACUGGCUGGGUGGCCCUUCCGUCAACCUCAGCAUUUGUUUCUCCAGGGGACAGGCCGUGGAAGCUUCUCGGAGGCCCGGAAAGCCGCCUGUGGAUCUCAUCAUCUUAUUUGGUUAACCGAACGCCGUGGCCUCUUGGUGCUGGCGAGGGCUCUGUUGUUCUUGGAAACGAGGCUGCGAGCCUCUCAGACCCUUGUCCGCACGGGCUGGUGCGGUGGGCAGGGCCCCCUGGGGUCAGGAACAUCCCUGAAUUGUGACUCUGGCCCUCCCUCCCACGCCCGCCCCCCACCCCAGCUGCCCGCCCACCGACUAGCUGUGUGGCCCGCGCACGCGGGCCCACGUUUGCUCCACAAGGAACAGCUGGAUGGUCUCUGGCAUCUCUGCUGGCUCUUUGCUUCUUCUGUGAACCGUUGAUUGCAGGAGGCCCUAGAUGGUGGGGGUUUGCUCCUCCCCCUCCCCCUCCCCUGCCUCCUUUCUCUAUCUCAUCUCUCUGACUUCCCCCGACUUUAUUUCCAAAGCUGAAACCCCAGGCUCUUCUGUGGAGGCGAGAUCGAGGAUGCCUGCCUCAGCUCAAAACCCAGGGCCAGAAAACCCUCCCAUCCAUCACACUCAUGUCACUAUGGAAGGUCCCCGAAGGUCAGCUUCCAGUCGUCCCUCAGGACAGUCUUAUUUGUAUUGCCUGGGGGGUCUGGCCUUUCACAGAAUACGUGAAAAAAUACCUCUUGUCCUCCCCAGGAAAGUUGAUAAUAAAUGUAUUCUUUUGAAGCUAGACAAGCAGUUGUAGGUGGGAAACAUUCCAGUAUGUUAAGAUACAAGUAUGGGAUAUAAGUAUUUUUAAAUGUUGAGUACACCCUGUUGAUCGUAUUUCUUCUUGAGGGAGGAUAUCUUGUCUGCUUUUGGGUGGAAGGGUUUGUGGCCCGAAGUACACGGGGUGGCUUUUGAUAUGAAAAUGUGUAUUGUGACUCCCUAAAUGAGGUGAGGCACAGCGGCUGGGGUGGCUCCGCAGAGGAGGGGCCUUGGACCAGCCCAGCCAGGAGCCACUCUGGAGAAGCUGCGAGGCGUGAAAGGGUGCUUUUAGGAAAGUCUGGGUCAGACAUGAUGUUAUAGGAAAAACUGCAGCGUCUGAGGAAACAGCGCGUGAAUCGAGAGGAAGCCAGGGGACAACGCAGGGAGGAUGUGAAGCAGACUGUUAGUGGGAGCCGAAGAGAGGGGCUGCCUGGCCGAAGGGGCUGGGCGGCUGCCUGGAGGGGAAACAGGAAGGGAUGCCCUGCUCCCGGAGGGAAGGCUGGGCAUGGGGUGGAGUGGUUACGGAACGGCUGGUGAUGCCAGGAGUUCGGCUGCACUAUUCCGGAGCAUGAGGACAGGCAGAGCCUCAGACAGGGCCGCUGGCCCUCGGUCUGUGCCCAGAGGAGUGACUGUCGGCUCGGGAAGCCUCCCUGUGGGGGGCUUGUUGUCCAUCCGCCCAGACGCCCAAAACUUUGGGGUGGGUGAGGAAUAGGGUCCACAGAAAGGAAAAGGAAUCUGGCCCAGCACCGCCUUUGGAAAGGACGGAGAGAGGUAAACUCUGCCUCCCUUUGUCCCCUCCCAUGUUGCCCGUGAAGGGGGACAGGUAUCCCAUCUUGGGCUCCAAGCAGCUUCCAGUGUGUCUAAGAACAGAGACCAUGGGUCACACCUCUGGCUCCAAAUCCUGUCCCUGCCACUUGCCAAGUGACCUGGGGUGGGGUGGGGGAGGGCAGGUUCAUCUUCGUGCCUCAGUUUCCUCACCUGUGAAAAAAGUGAAAGUGUUAGUUGCUCAGUCGUGUCCGAUUCUUUGUGACCUCAUGGACUAUAUCCCACCAGGCUCCUCUGUCCAUGGGAUUCUCCAGGCAAGAAUACUGGAGUAGUAGCCAUUCCCUUCUGCAGGAGAUCUUCCCAACCCAGGGAUCAAACUCAGGUCUCCUGCAUUGGUAGAUGGAUUCUUCACUGUCUGAGCCACCAAAGAAACCCUCCUCACCUGUAGAAGAGUGUUAAUAUUAGUGCCCCCUUCAAAGGGAUGUGAGGUUUAAGUUUAUUCUUUUUUGAAAACAGCUUUCCGGAGGCAUGGUUCACGUACCAUAAACACAGCCACUUGAAGGAUGUAUUAACAGUUGGAUGUAUAGUAUAUUAACAGUUCUAGUAUAUUCAGAAUUGUGCAGCCAUCGCCACAGUGGUGACUUUUGUCACCCUCCUCCCCCUAAAAAAUACCGUAUUCACCAGCUGUCACUCCUCAUUUUCUCCUAACCCCCUCUUUUCCCAGCCCUAGGAAACCACCAGUCUACUUCCCUAUUCCGGACAGAUUUCAUAUGCAUGGAAUUGUAUACGCUGUGGUCUCUUGUAACUGGCCUCUUUCAUUUCGCAUCCUGAUUUCCAGGUUCAUCUGUGUAGUAGUGUGUAUUAGAGCUUCAUUCCUUCUUAUGGCCAGGUAAAAUUCCGUUGUAUGGACACACCCUAUUCUAUUUAUUCAGUCGUCAGUCAGUGGGCGUUUGCAUUGUUCGUGCUUCUUGGCUGUUGUGAAUAAUGCAGCUGUGACCAUUGGUGUAUAGGUUUUCGUGUGGAUGUGUGUUUUCAUUUCUCUGGGGUAUAUACCCAGGAGUGGAAUUGCUGGGUCACAUGAUAACUCUCUGUGUAACUGUUGGAAGAACUGCCAGAUUGUUUUUCAACGUGGCUGCACUGGGAGGAAUGUGUGAGGCUUCCACUUUCUCCUUACCCUUGCCAGCACUUGUUAAUAUUUGUCUCAUCUGGGUGGGUAUGCAGUGGGUGGGUAUCUCAUUAUGGCUUUGCUUGGCAUUUCCCUGAUGGCCAGUGAUGUUAAGCCUGCUCUCAUGGGCUUGUUGGUCAUUUGUACAUUUUCUUUGGAGAAGUGUCUGUUCAGAUUCUUUACCAUUUUAAUUGGUUACGUUAGUUCUUAGAUGUGCUUGAGAGGAAUGCCUUCCCCAUGAGAAGCUUAUGAGUCACCGUCAGGGAGAGACCCCUGGAUUUGGUAUGCCAGACUCCUACCUGUGUGCAGGAUUCAGGGAUGGAGGUGGGACUGGUGAUGCUGCAUAAAUUACCAGGCAUGCAGGAGUGGGUACCUUUCUAUUUUCUUCAAAUAUACCCCCGACUCGGGGAGAGGCUGGAAUGUUUACAACCCACCACAGGCCAAACGCCCACCUGCACCUUUCCAAUUUGGUUUUUCUGCCUCCCUCUGGCUGGGCUGUCCAUACCUGCUGCCUGUGGCCGUGAAUUCCUUGCUGCUCAGGUUUUGGAUUCUGUUCAUCCUCAAGCCCCCCAAGAGGCUGCUGGUGGGGGUGUCAGCAGCGAUGGGAACCCCAUCAAGAUGCCCCGGGUCCUGUCCCACCCCCGCCUCCAUCACACCCCGUUAUCCUUCUACCGUUUUUGUGCCAGCUGCCACUUGCUCAGGUGGCUCAUAGGCUGUGUGUAUGCUUUCCUUUUCCUUUUCUUCUUGCCUAAAAAUACUCAGGUUUUUCCAAGAGUUGAGCAGUGCUUGCAGAGGAUUGAAUUCAGGUUUGGUUUGACCUCAGCACUUCCACGGAGAAGGCAAUGGCAACCCACUCCAGUACUCUUGCCUGGAAAAUCCCAUGGACAGAAGAGCCUGGAAGACUGCAGUCCGUGGGGUUGCUGAGGGUCGGACAUGACUGAGCGACUUCACUUUGACUUUUCACUUUCAUGCUUUGGAGAAGGAAAUGGCAACCCACUCCAGUGUUCUUGUCUGGAGAAUCCCAGGGACGGGGGAGCCUGGUGGGCUGCCGUCUAUGGGGUCGCACAGAGUCGGACACAACUGAAG